CAGAAAGUAGUUUAACGAGAAUAUUGGCUUUGGGAGUCGAUGGUAGGGAAAAAUUCCUUCUUUCUG
rnacentral:tRNA from 1 species